ACACUAGGGAUGCUGUGGCUUAUAGAAUAAAACAGAAGCCCAAAACUUGUUUGCAGUUGAAUACCGUCACGCUCUAUAAAACAGGGGAGCUUACUCAGAUUAGUAGCCAGGUUGAUACACACAUUCUGAUAGACCCGGGAAACUUUACAGAUAUUUAAGAUGGGAGUUCAGAGUAUAUCUUACGUGGUUAUUGUCGCCAUCUUGGCUACAGUUCAAGCUGAUUGGUUUUCAGACCCAGAGUGGUCUUUUCAGGUGUACAUGAACGAAAACACCAGUUUACGCUGCAACGACAGUUUAGUAAAUAUUCAUCCGUCAGCCGAGCUCUGGUGGCAUUUACCAAGCGGUGCUAAAAUCCACGGCUACUCAUUACAGAGAGAUGAGAAAUACGAGUUAAUGGACGACAACGGACUCCGAGGCGGUAUACUCAAGAUCAAAAACGUUAAAUCCAGCGAUCACGGAUUAUAUAUCUGUAUGGUUUACAAUGGAAGCGAAAGGAUCCACAAGAUAAAUCGUGGGCUCAAUCUUUAUGGACAUUUGGACAGGGACAAUUUUAAUCUUUAUCGUACACAGGUGAUUGUGGCUUUUGUAGCUGCUUUAGUCUUCGUGGUGCCGCUUUUGGCAAUUUGCUUCAUAUACCACUUCCGGUACAUGAGCGACGCCGAGAAAGAGCGUAAGCAAAACAGUGAGAAAUAUUUCAGUGAACUUCAUCAAGCUCUGCAAAAUGGCAGCGAUUAUCCGACAAAGCCAUACCAGCACUAUGAUAACCCCUCUUAUGAUACGCAUCUUUAAAGUCUCCAAAUCACUCAGGCUCUUUUAAAAAUCUAUUUCUUCAAUACACACAGUGGCGUAGUUAGAGUUUGUGCCGCUACCCCAUCAGAAUCCGCAAAAACACACACCAUAUACAUGUGAAAAAUGCUUAAACCUUUAAACAUACAAAGCGGUGUUAAUCAUGACAAAAUAUAAUUGUCAGAUCGUUUUGUAUCACGGUAACGUCCCGACAGAAAAUCAAAGUUAUUUUCAAUGAAGAAAACCAAAAGUGCCACGCCACGUAUACGUGCAGCCCGUGGCGGGUCAAAUUAACGUACGCUACUUGAUAAUCGACAUCCUAAAUAUAGUAUAUUUAUCGAGUGGAUAACAGUUACAAUUAAAUUCUAGUUAAAGAUGCAUUAUGUAAGAUUUAGAUAAACAGCUGACAGUUUUCGUUAUGAUAGUUAAAACGAUAGAUAAUGAAAAGGGAAUAUCUUGAAAAUUUCAGUCAAAAUAUUUCAUUUUUGAGCGACGUUUAUAUAGGGCUGUUUGGAGUCUCGAUUGUAAUUGCUACCGAUGUUACGAUAGUAAACCAAGUCUCGAUUAUCCAAUUUUUAAAAUUUAAUCAUUAACCGCCAAUUAUGUUUAAAUCCGUUGAAAAUCUCGAGCAUCCGAUGACACCGGAAGUUGAUUAUAUGUUUCGGCAAGAUAUUUAAUGUCCAUUUUAUAAUUUAUAUAACAUGACACAUGUAAGGCCUAAAGAAAGACUUGUAAUGGUCAGAUUUAGCUGUUGCAUAAUGCAUCUUUAAAAGUUGAUCGAAAAUAAAUGUAACCUAUUCUGGUCUCUACUAUUAUUUUCCUGAACUAUACAAAAUAUCACAUCGAAGAAAUAUAUCCUUAAAGCAUAGUAAACUUAUAGUAAACUUAUAAACCUCAUAUAGGCCUAUAUUCUUGAUGCGAGGUCUGCUCCAGGGCUAAGGACAACUCAAGUCGGCAAGUGAUCUUUCCAUUAACUUAGACAAGUCUUAGAUGAGUAUGUUGGACGGACUCCAGACUAAACAUUCGGAUAUAGACAACAUGCUUUUUGGACCAGCUACUUUUUUAUCGUGUUUAAAUGAAAGUCUAUAUUUUCUGUUUAUUCUAGAAAGAGAUUUACGUUCCACUCAACAAUAAUAAUAUAAUGUC